UAGUCAUAUGCUUGUCUCAAAGAUUAAGCCAUGCAUGUCUAAGUAUAAACUGCUUAUACUGUGAAACUGCGAAUGGCUCAUUAAAUCAGUUAUAGUUUAUUUGAUGGUACCACAUUACUCGGAUAACCGUAGUAAUUCUAGAGCUAAUACGUGCGCACAUCCCGACUUCUGGAAGGGACGUAUUUAUUAGAUAAAAGGCCAGCCAGGCGCAAGCCUGACCCUUGGCGACUCAUGAUAACUCCACGAAUCGCACGGCCUCCGUGCCGGCGAUGUUUCAU
rnacentral:rRNA from 1 species